CAGGGGCCCUGGGUACUGUGCCAAGGCCUCUGAGACCCCUGCCCGAGGGGUCUAGAGGCGUCCAGGGAAGCCAGGGGAACACCCUGGACCCCCACAGGGCAGGAGGUGACAGAGGUGACAGAGGUGCCACCAGAGUGUCUCAGGGUGGGUCAUUCACGGCAGCAGCCACACAUGGAGGCCGAGAGAAGAACGAACCCUCCUCUGCCAGCCCAGCACGUUCACAGAGCUGUGAGCAGAAGGGGGAAAGCAGAAUCUGAGUGCUGGAAGACAGUUUGGAUUUCCUCGGCAUCCUCCCCCUGCCAAGUCGCGUUUUCCCUCUGGCUGGCGACCACAUCUCCCUGUGAACAUCUGCAAACUGCAGCUCCAGACAGCAACUGGGGGCAGCUCUGCUUGGAAUGAUGUCAUUCCCCAAAUUCACUAAAUUCAGGGAAUAUCCACAUUUCAGUGCCCCUUCUCCUCCUUUGCUGUUUCUACAGCUCUGGUGGUGGAGGAGUUAAAAUAUUUCAGUUCUGAGUUAAGGAACUGUAAAAGUUCUAGUCCAGAGACACUUUUUUCCUCCUUUCUGAUAGUGAUUGGCUUCCCCUGCACCUCUUUUGUUUUGAGAAUUUUGGAGUAUGCAGACUUGUGUAAUGCAGAGAUUGCUUCCAAUUUAAUUUAGUUGUUUUGUCUUUUAUCAUAAUGGAAACGAG
rnacentral:lncRNA from 12 species